CCAAGUCGCCGUCUUUAAACCAGGGGUGUUUGUACAGUGUCGUGUAUAGAAAAGAUCCAUGGCUCACAUGUGGGCUGUAGGUAUAUUGAUCUUGUUGAGAGAGCUCACUCAGAGAAGUAAUCAAGACAGCAAUGUAUUGAAAACAAAGCCAUGAAUCUGACAAGAAAGGUACUGAAGGUGCCCACUUUGAUGGCUUGUCGCGCUGGUGCCUUUGAUCUCUGUAGAAACCGCUUUGCUCCACUUCAGAAGAGACUGUCAUGUGCCCCAUUCGCUGGCCUUUGGAUCAAACCAGCAGCAGACCUCACAGAUAGAACCCCACCACUGGCCAUUCACAAAGAGGGGAACUAUCCUACUGUAGAAACGAGCACGUGAUAUAAAAAUAGAACAUGCCAUGUCCCUGCAAAGUGCAGAUAUACAGAGUUUUCUACUUAUCAGCCAACACUGGGAGUCGGAUCUUACUAUUCUCCUC